AAGCUUCGUGCGAAUUUCUCAAAGAGUAGCCUGGAGCCGGCAUCAAACUAUAAAUUGCUUAUGAAGGCGACACAGCUGGAUUUAUGCGCGGCCAGCUUGACUCAGUGCCACGAGCAGCGCGAGCAUAUUAAUUACGAGAUGGAGCUGCUAAAAAAAAAAAAAGGAAAAGUUGAAAAAACUGUGCCACGAAGAAGAGGAAAAGUUGGCAUUAAUUAAAAAUAAAGAGGCAAUUAAGGUAUGACAGUUCAGUUGAGGCAGGAACAGUACAAAGAACCGAAUGCGUGCCACUAUAGAGCAGGUAGAGUCCGUCAAAAAUGAGCUGAGCAAAUUGCGCAAAACUUAGCAAAGCCUGCAAUGGGAAAUGGAAUUAUGCUGAGCAACAAAUCGAACAAAAUGUCCGUGUAUGGGGAGCACGCAAUGCAAGUGUCCAAUGCAUUGAGCGUUAAGUACAGUGGCAGCAAUGCGCACAGAAUGCCACGUGGACCUAU